UGAGGGAUAUUGGGCAAUGGGGGAAACCCUGACCCAGCGACGCCGCGUGAGGGAAGACGGUCUUCGGAUUGUAAACCUCUGUCUUUGGGGACGAAAAAGGACGGUACCCAAGGAGGAAGCUCCGGCUAACUACGUGCCAGCAGCCGCGGUAAUACGUAGGGAGCGAGCGUUGUCCGGAAUUACUGGGUGUAAAGGGAGCGUAGGCGGGGAGGCAAGUUGGAUGUGAAAACUGUGGGCUCAACCGACAGACUGCAUUCAAAACUGUUUUUCUUGAGUGAAGUAGAGGCAAGCGGAAUUCCUAGUGUAGCGGUGAAAUGCGUAGAUAUUAGGAGGAACACCAGUGGCGAAGGCGGCUUGCUGGGCUUUUACUGACGCUGAGGCUCGAAAGUGUGGGGAGCAAACAGGAUUAGAUACCC
rnacentral:rRNA from 1 species